rnacentral:rRNA from 1 species
GAUGAACGCUGGCGGCGUGCCUAAUACAUGCAAGUCGAGCGAACGGACGAGAAGCUUGCUUCUCUGAUGUUAGCGGCGGACGGGUGAGUAACACGUGGAUAACCUACCUAUAAGACUGGGAUAACUUCGGGAAACCGGAGCUAAUACCGGAUGAUAUUUUGAACCGCAUGGUUCAAAAGUGAAAGACGGUCUUGCUGUCACUUAUAGAUGGAUCCGCGCUGCAUUAGCUAGUUGGUAAGGUAACGGCUUACCAAGGCAACGAUGCAUAGCCGACCUGAGAGGGUGAUCGGCCACACUGGAACUGAGACACGGUCCAGACUCCUACGGGAGGCAGCAGUAGGGAAUCUUCCGCAAUGGGCUAAAGCCUGACGGAGCAACGCCGCGUGAGUGAUGAAGGUCUUCGGAUCGUAAAACUCUGUUAUUAGGGAAGAACAUAUGUGUAAGUAACUGUGCACAUCUUGACGGUACCUAAUCAGAAAGCCACGGCUAACUACGUG